UACGUAGGGCGCAAGCGUUGUCCGGAAUUAUUAGGCGUAAAGAGCUCGUAGGCGGCUUGUCACGUCGGGUGUGAAAGCCCGGGGCUUAACCCCGGGUCUGCAUUCGAUACGGGCAGGCUAGAGUGUGGUAGGGGAGAUCGGAAUUCCUGGUGUAGCGGUGAAAUGCGCAGAUAUCAGGAGGAACACCGGUGGCGAAGGCGGAUCUCUGGGCCAUUACUGACGCUGAGGAGCGAAAGCGUGGGGAGCGAACAGG
rnacentral:rRNA from 1 species